rnacentral:rRNA from 1 species
UACGAAGGGGGCUAGCGUUGUUCGGAAUUACUGGGCGUAAAGGGCGCGUAGGCGGUGUGUCAAGUCAGGCGUGAAAGCCCCGGGCUCAACCUGGGAACCGCGCUUGAGACUGGCACGCUCGAGUUCGGGAGAGGAUGGUGGAAUACCCAGUGUAGAGGUGAAAUUCGUAGAUAUUGGGUGGAACACCGGUGGCGAAAGCGGCUCUCUGGCCCGGAUCUGACGCUGAGGCGCGAAAGCGUGGGGAGCAAACAGG